AUUAAACUUGGUUUUCAGAAAUCUCCUGAUCUGAAAUGUGAAUUACGCUAAUUACUUCUGGUGGCUGCAACAUUGAUUUCAGUGUUAAAGUUAAUGGACUUAAUGGACGUCGCUUCUCCCUCAGACGCGGCUUGGGGCUCCCUGCUGAGGUACCACGAGGGGCUUCCACUGGGCCCUCUGAAUCCUCUGUCAUCAGCCUCUGCUGCCUGAAGCCCCCACCAGAAAGAACACCUCUUUCUGUCCCAUGUGGCCAUAAUGAGGUUCUCAGUCCAGGUAUCUGAUACCACGUUCUCCACAAGGUAAGCAUGUAAUACAACGGGAGCAGUCAUUGCAUUGUACAUCCUAGACCCCAUGACAUAGCUGGGCCCAUCACUCUCUUUAUCCAGAUUUUCUCAAUUGAGGUGGAGGGGUUGUCAACUUCAGAAUGAAUUUGAUUGCCAAAUUUGGCCUAUACAAGGAGCAAUGACUAUAAAUCUUAUAGAAAGAAACCAAAAGUUCAUCGGCAGUUUCAAAAAUAAGAUUAACAUCUCCAUGAACCAGAAAUGGAAUAGAAAUCUAAAAUGGUAAAUGGAACCAAAGCCAUAAUUUUGCUGGGUUCUGGGUCUGGCAUCAAGCAAUGCAGUUGACAGUUCAACCCUUGUAGGUUAAGGGGAUGCAAAUGGUCCUUUAGGGGUAGGAAGCAGCGUUGUGGUCAGGAAUGAAGGCCAGAUGACUGGCUGACUCUGUGAUUAUGUUUGGGACACACCAUUACACCCAGCAAACUACUAUUAUAAGAGUUGGUUUGGGAUAAGAAUGGGUAAACAUGGAUAGGGAGAGAGAGGGAGAAAAGGAGGAGGAAGAGAAAGGGAAAGACAAAAAGAAAUCCCCACUUAAAGUGAAUCUAUGAAUCAAUAUUCCAAGAUAUAUGAAGAGAUUUAUUACCAGAAAAAAAAUCCAUAAUCUGAACAGAAAUUCACUCUAGAUAAAAUUCACUAGACAGAAGUAUCUGUAAGUACAUUUAGAAGUUCAAGGAGAUAAACUCUUAAUAAAAGAAAGCAAUAUAUAUAUAUAUUAUAUAUAAUAAAAACAAGUACAAAUUACAAGUGGAUAUGAAAAUGA
rnacentral:lncRNA from 1 species